rnacentral:tRNA from 1 species
GGAGAGGUGGCCGAGCGGUUUAAGGCGCACGCUUGGAAAGCGUGUAUACUUGUAAGAGUAUCGGGGGUUCGAAUCCCUUCCUCUCCGCAA